rnacentral:ncRNA from 1 species
GGAGAACUCCGAGGAGCCAACCCUAGUACGAGAGGACUGGGUUAAGCUAACCUAUGGUGUACCGGUUGUUAUGCCAAUAGCAGUGCUGGGCAGCUAAGUUAGUAUGGAAGAACUGCUGCGCUGCGGGAAAUCCUUCUCUAUACAAGUUCUCGGAUGAGGUUUUUGAACAGAACUUCGAUAGUCGAGAGGUGUAAGCACCGCGAGGUGUGAAGCAAUCUCAUACUAAAUGA